AUUGAACGCUGGCGGCAGGCUUAACACAUGCAAGUCGAGCGAGCGGCGGACGGGUGAGUAAUGUCUGGGAAACUGCCUGAUGGAGGGGGAUAACUACUGGAAACGGUAGCUAAUACCGCAUACCAUCAGAUGUGCCCAGAUGGGAUUAGCUAGUAGGUGGGGUAAUGGCUCACCUAGGCGACGAUCCCUAGCUGGUCUGAGAGGAUGACCGGCAAUACGGCAACGGAGAGACGGUCCAGACUCCUACGGGAGGCGGCAGUGGGGGAUAUUGCACAAGGGGCGAAAGCCUGAUGCAGCGACGCGGCGUGGGGGAUGAAGGCUUUCGGGUCGUAAACCUCUGUCGCUAGCGAACGGGUAGGUGGAGAAGAAGCGCCGGCUAACUACGUGCCAGCAGCCGCGGUAAUAC
rnacentral:rRNA from 1 species